rnacentral:rRNA from 1 species
GUUGAUCAUGGCUCAGGAUGAACGCUGGCGGCGUGCCUAAUACAUGCAAGUCGGACGGUCUACGCAAGUAGAUAGUGGCGAACGGGGUGAGUAACGCGUUGGUGACCUGCCCCUUAGGAGAGGGAGUAACAGCUCGAAAGAGCUGCUAAUACCGCAUGAGAUCGUAGGGAUUAGAAGCCUAUGAUGAAAGCCGAAAGGCGCUGAGGGAGGGACCUGCGUCCCAUCAGCUAGUUGGUGAGGUAACGGCCCACCAAGGCGAUGACGGUAGGGGACCUGAGAGGGUGACCCCCCACAAUGGAACUGAAACACGGUCCAUACACCUACGGGUGGCAGCAGUAGGGAAUAUUGGGAAUUGGGCGAAAGCCUGACCCAGCAACGCCGCGUGAGUGAUGAAGGCCUUCGGGUUGUAAAACUCUUUUUACGGGGACGAGGAAGGACGGUACCCGUAGAAUAAGUCUCGGCUAACUACGUGCCAGCCGCGGC